rnacentral:rRNA from 1 species
UACGUAGGGUGCAAGCGUUAAUCGGAAUUACUGGGCGUAAAGCGUGCGCAGGCGGUGAUGUAAGACAGGUGUGAAAUCCCCGGGCUUAACCUGGGAACUGCGUUUCUAACUGGCAGGCUUGAGUGUGGCAGAGGGGGGUGGAAUUCCACGUGUAGCAGUGAAAUGCGUAGAGAUGUGGAGGAACACCGAUGGCGAAGGCAGCCCCCUGGGCUAACACUGACGCUGAGGAGCGAAAGUGUGGGGAGCGAACAGG